rnacentral:rRNA from 1 species
UACGUAGGUGGCAAGCGUUGUCCGGAAUUAUUGGGCGUAAAGCGCGCGCAGGCGGUCCUUUAAGUCUGAUGUGAAAGCCCACGGCUCAACCGUGGAGGGUCAUUGGAAACUGGGGGACUUGAGUACAGAAGAGAAGAGUGGAAUUCCACGUGUAGCGGUGAAAUGCGUAGAGAUGUGGAGGAACACCAGUGGCGAAGGCGACUCUUGGUCUGUAACGUGACGCUGAGGCGCGAAAGCGUGGGGAGCAAACAGGAAUUAGAAACC